AAAUUAAAAAUUUGGUCUUCUCCGUACUUGGCUAUUUGUUUUGCUGUUUUAGUCGUUACAUGAAAAACAAAGAACUUCACAUUUUGGAUUCCCUUACAGAAAAUAGUUCAUGAAUUGAUCACUACUGUGCCAAAGCUAUAACUGUGUCUGAUUUGAUGAAGUCCUUGUACCUGACCCUUUUUUGUUUUAGUCCCUACAUGAAAAACUUCUGUACUUAAAUAUUUGGUCUUGAAAAGGAAAAACACUCUGCAUGUUGGUCCCAAAUGAAAAGGAAAAACACCCCUACCUGACACUUCCAUUUUCUAUUUUGAUCCCUGCAUAAACAAAAGUUUAGUUCUAUCAUAACUUCAGCAUAUGACAAGGACUUAUUUGUAAACUUCUUUACUUGUAAGAACAGAUAUGUGAAAUUUUUUCAUAUAGGAACUAAAUAAAAAAUCCGACAAAUGUACUGACCAAAUUUUAAUUUAACCUUAUUUUAUUCAUUUUCUUAUCUACCAUUGGCAAUGUUUUGAUUGGGAGGAUUUUGAAUGAGUUGUAUGACAGUUUUUUGCCAUUGUGAUUAAGUAACAACUUUUGCAUCUCAUAUUUCAAUUUAUGUGAUGACAGCAAUAUCAAAGACAUUGCAAGGUACAAGCAAACUGGAAAAGAUUUUAGAUAUUUGGCAGGCUGGAAAGUUGUUUUAUACUUUGGCUACGUGGGGACUUGCUUUGGCUGGGCUUUACCAAAGUCGUGCAUUGUUAAGAGUUGCUGCGAAAGGUGUUCAUUCAGGAAGUAAACUUGCUCUCAGGGCUCUCUGAAGAUUGUUGUUCCAUGACCCUGGUAAAUGUAUAAUGAAUGCUAGUCCAUGGAGCUUACUGUGCCUUGUCUGAGUAUCAACCUAUUUGUUCCUACAAAUCUUGUUGAUGUAAAUAAUUUGUAAAUAAAAUUAUACGUGUUCUUACCGACCUGUGAAUUCACGCUGGUUUCUAACGAUGUUGCUAUGGUGUUAAAUUAUAUUGAAUAUUUCAUUA